rnacentral:rRNA from 1 species
CUACGGGUUGCUGCAGUGAGGAAUAUUGCGCAAUGGGGGGAACCCUGAUGCAGCAACGCCGCGUGGAGGAUGACGCAUUUCGGUGUGUAAACUCCUUUUAUAUGUCAAGAAAAUGACGGUAGCAUAUGAAUAAGCACCGGCUAACUCCGUGCCAGCAGCCGCGGUAAUACGGAGGGUGCAAGCGUUACUCGGAAUCACUGGGCGUAAAGGACGCGUAGGCGGGUUGGAAAGUCAGGUGUGAAAUCCUACAGCUUAACUGUAGAACUGCACUUGAAACUUCUAAUCUAGAGUAUGGGAGGGGGAGAUGGAAUUAGUGGUGUAGGGGUAAAAUCCGUAGAUAUCACUAGGAAUACCUAAAGCGAAGGCGAUCUCCUGGAACAUUACUGACGCUAAGGCGUGAAAGCGUGGGGAGCAAGCAGGAUUAGAUACCCGCGUAGUC